rnacentral:rRNA from 1 species
AUUGAACGCUGGCGGCAGGCCUAACACAUGCAAGUCGAGCGAGCGGCGGACGGGUGAGUAAUGUCUGGGAACCUGCCUGAUCGUGGGGGAUAACUACUGGAAACGGUAGCUAAUACCGCAUACCAUCAGAUGUGCCCAGAUGGGAUUAGCUAGUAGGCGGGGUAAUGGCUCACCUAGGCGACGAUCCCUAGCUGGUCUGAGAGGAUGAUCAGCCACAAGGGAACUGAGACACGGUCCAGCCUCCUACGGGAGGCAGCAGUGGGGAAUAUUGCACAAUGGGCGAAAGCCUGAUGCAGCCAUGCCGCGUGUGUGAAGAAGGCCUUCGGGUUGUAAAGCACUGUCAUCGGGGAAGCGGUACUCAAAGAAGAAGCACCGGCUAACUCCGUGCCAGCAGCCGCGGUAAUAC